GCGGGUGUAGUUCAAUGGUAGAACAGCAGCUUCCCAAGCUGCCAGCGCGAGUUCGAUUCUCGUCACCCGCUCCA
rnacentral:tRNA from 1 species